CUCCCUGUAGCUCAGUUGGUAGAGCAUGGUGUUUGCAACGCCAGGGUUGUGGGUUCGGUUCCCACGGGGGGGC
rfam:Salmo salar isolate Sally breed double haploid chromosome ssa06, whole genome shotgun sequence.